rnacentral:rRNA from 1 species
UACCAGCUCUCCGAGUGGUAGGGAUGAUUAUUGGGCUUAAAGCGUCCGUAGCCGGCUUAGCAAGUUUCCUGUUAAAUUCAGCGACCUAAUCGUUGAGCCGCGGGAAAUACUACUAGGCUAGGAGGCGGGAGAGGUCGACGGUACUUCUGGGGUAGGGGUGAAAUCCUAUAAUCCCGGGAGGACCACCAGUGGCGAAGGCUGUCGACUAGAACGCGCUCUACGGUGAGGGACGAAAGCUGGGGGAGCGAACCGGAUUAGAUACCCGGGUAGUCCCAGCUGUAAACGAUGCGGGCUAGGUGUUGGGGUGGCUACGUGCCACUUCAGUGCCGCAGGGAAGCCAUUAAGCCCGCCGCCUGGGGAGUACGGCCGCAAGGCUGAAACUUAAGGGAAUUGGCGGGGGAGCACCACAAGGCGUGAAGCUUGCGGUUC